CGAUUGUCGUCUCUCUAGUCGAUGUAUUCAUGGAAAUUUUACUUUAACAAGUAUUAAUGAAUAAUUCGAAAAAUAAUGAAAAAGUUUAAAUAUUUUUGAAUCAAAAUAAAGCACAAUAUGAUCGAUUGAAAGUCAUAUAAAUCUUUGAAGUUUCUGGUUAGGCACAUCAAAAUGGAUUACGCUACUGAGCAUUUACCAAUGGAAACAUACAAUCGAAUCA